AAGCGUCGUAGUUGAAUUUCGGGAUUGACGUGAUGGUCGUGCCUUAAGGGUAUGAACUGUCGCAGUUGAUUUCUCACCUUCUGGAGAAGCACGAUGUCCUUAAUUGGGUGUCAUGUGGAACCAGGACCUUUACCUUGAAAAAAUUAGAGUGUUUAAAGCAGGCAUUUUGCCCGAAUACAUUAGCAUGGAAUAAUAGAAUAGGACGGCAUGGUUCUAUUUUGUUGGUUUCUAGGAUCACCGUAAUGAUUAAUAGGGAUAGUUGGG
rnacentral:rRNA from 1 species